GUAGCUCAGUUGGUAGAGCAGCUGAUUUGUAAUCAGCAGGUCGGGGGUUCGUGUCCCUUC
rnacentral:tRNA from 1 species